UGUUUGCUUUUUCCCCUUUCAUAAUGUUUCUGGUCUUAUAUCCAGAGGUUUUUGCAUUUGAGGUAAUCUCUUUAAGGCCACUAAAAGCUACUCAACCACGGAACAUUCAGGCAUGCUGAACCUUGGAAUUAGUGACCCUCCGAAGGAAAUGUAGAACUAAAUGUUAAUAUUGGAACUGACACUUAGGCUUUAUUCUGGGACGGUACAGGAAAAUGCCUCUUUCCAUGUGGGACAAGGAAUAUACUUUGCAACUCAAGAUAACCUCCAGCAGUGAACAGAUCUGAGAAUGUGUGACAACAGAUAAAGACCAACUCAAAUCACAGAAAUACUGACACGUAUUCUCUGUGGUUUCUUACCUUGUAACCUUCUGGGCUGCUUGGAAAGUGGAUUUCCACUAUACUGAAAAUCCAUGUUCCAGCAAUAGGGCUGCUGAGUGAGUGACUUCACUGCAAUCAGUAUUGCUGACUAAUGCCUGGAUCAACACCUACCACCACCACCACCACCACCACCACCACCACCACCACCACCACCACCACCACCACC